CUCAAGCAAAAAACAAAGAUUCAUGGAAAUGAAAUUUAAAAGAGGAUAAGAGAAUGAGUUGUUCAAAUUAUGGGGUGGUCCGGAGAAGCAUUCCAUGAAUUAAAGAUGGCCUAUAAUGUGAGGUGUUGGAUCAAGUAAAUCAUAUGGUAAAAUUGUUUGGGUUUGGAAAAUAGAUCAAAUCAAACAGACCACUCUUCUCUUGAACCUUGGAGGAAUCUCUCCCAGUCCCACUGAUAUUUCCAAAUUUAUUGUUGUAGGAUUUUAUUUUUAAAAUGUAAAAACAAAACUAACUAACUAUCAUAAAUAUAUUUUAUUAUGUGCUCUUAAAGGUAAUAAAAUUAGUAGUGUACCCAAAUUGUGACCCCACCACGAUUCAGUGGAAAAGUGUAUUUUUCUUAAACUUUAACAGAAAAACACAAGAGGAAUAUUUUAUUUUUUUUGCUUUUAAAUAAGAAUCCGAAGACACAAAAGUGGAGCUAAAGUUGAUCCUUAUCCCUUGAAAGGUAGGGAUAGACUUCGAUGGAAUAAACUGACCGUAGUUAAUUGGAUAUAGUGGAUAGAAGUGUAGAUAAGAGAGAGAGAGAGAGAGAAUAGUAGUACUAAACAAGUAUGGAGUCGUUGGUGUGGUUGGACUUGGAACUUAAGAGGUUGAAGAAGGCAAACUGAUGAAAAUAUCUCUUCUGCAACAAGCUCCACUUCCUAUAUCCUACAUUCCUACCUACCCAAUACCCUCGGCUUUAAUGUAUGUCUCCCAUAUCCACCAAAAUUCUCAACUCAAAAGCCUGUUGAAUAAAUAUCCUUAAGAGGUUGGGUGGGUGGGGUGGGGUGCCCUUGGUCUCAUGUCCAGUUGCGCGAUGAGUUUGCAGAGGCAGCCACUUGGCCCACUUGAUAUAUCGAUAACACUGCACAGUGCACGCUUGCCCACGCCCAGGGGUAAGUGGAUAAACCCCACAAAGGGAUAGAAGGAAGUGGGAUUUCCCAGUUAGCCAGAAAAAAAUGGCAGAGGUGUUUUGGAGAAAUCCAAGCCUCAAAUGCAAUCCUCUCCAGUCUCCACUUGACUUUUGCUUUUUGUACUAGUCUACUAGAAGACUAGAAGCUUUGGUGCUUUGUGAUGGGACUCAGCAAUUAGUAAUUAGUAAUUACUGUUGCAUUCGCUUUCUAACCAAACAUAUCCCAUUAUGAUUUCUAAUUACAAAUUAGCUUGAUUUUAAUCUUCAGUGCCAGAGAUCACCAACUUCUUUAUCAUUUUUUUUCUCUCUCUCCCCUCCAAUAUAACUGGGAGUCUCCUGGCAACUGAAGUUCUUUUUAUCCGCUUACCACCUUGUUUCUUUCUUUUUCUCACUUAUCAUCUAUAAAUAGAAUUGUUUGUUGCAUAGUUUCUUUUUCUCUUUUAAAACAGUUUUAAAAUUAUUUGUUUGCCUUUUUCUCACUUUUAAGGCAUUGCAUAUUUGUGUGUAAUACAAAAAUUCUUAAUAUAUUAUAUAUAUUUUUUCAUUGUUGUUUAUAAAAAAUAACUAAAAGCACUUUAAAUUUAUUCCUCUAAAAUAAAUUAUUUUUCAAAAAAAUCUUAAAAAUACUUUUUAUUAAACCUAUUUUAUAACUCAAAAAACUAUAUUAUUAUUUAGGAUUGCAAUUUUUACGAGUUAAUGUGACCAACUCAAGCCCAAUUCCAAUUAAAAAAUAAUCCACCUAAAUCUAACCCAAAUUCAAUCUAAUCUCAUUUCUUUAAGUUCAAAUAGACUUCAGAUUAGUUAGGUCUGAUCCAAAUUAGUUAAGUUGAUUGGAUUACAUAAUUUAAAAUUUGUAAUUUUUUUAAAAUUAUAUAUUUACAUGAAAAUUUGAAUAAUAGAUAAAAUAAAUUUUCAAGAUAACAAUAAUAAAUAAAUAAAUUUACAUAUCUUUCAAAAUUAAUAAAAAAGUAAAUAAUGUUGUAAAUCAAUGAUAAAUGGAACACAAAUAAAGUAGUAGAGAUAAACUAUAUAUUGUUUUGAUAAUAAUAUAUAAUAGGGAAGAAUAAAUCACGAAAUUGAGAAAACUGAGAUAAUGAAAUAAAGAGAUAAUGAGAGAAUGUAAGAAAUUAGGGGAUGCAUAUUACAAGAGAUAGGAAACCCUUUUAUAGGCUUUUUCAAAUAGCUUUCAUCAAUAUUCCUAUUAAUGAAUAUUAAUGGAACUAUAAAUAACAUUAAUGGUUUUCAUUAAUGAGUAUUAACAGAAGUUAUAAAUAAUAUUUAAUUAACAUUUAUUAUAAUUAAUGUGGUGGUAUUCAUUACUUUAGUCAUAACACUCCCCUUAAAUGUCCACCACAUUGAAGAAUAUGCCUCAUUAAAAACUUGCUAGUAAAAAACCCCAUGAAAAAAACAUACCAAAGGAAAAAUAAUAUAAUAUUCUUAUAAUUCUUUAAGUUACUCUUGGUAUGUUAAGACUGUCUCAUUAAAAACCUUGUUAGUAAAACUCAGUAAGACAAAACUUGGACGAAAGGAAAAAGAGUACAAUACACUAACACCCUUUUACAAACAUACUCCCCCUCAUGUUGAUAUCCUUGAGUUGAUACAUUAUAAUCUUGUGUAUCAACUUCUUGAAUAUUGAGGUUGGUAAUGAUUUUGUGAAUAAAUCUGCUAGAUUAUUACUUGAGCGUAUUUGUUGCUCAUCAAUUUCACCACUCUUAUGAAGUUCGUAUGUAUAAAAGAAUUUUGGUGAAGUGUGCUUAGUUCUAUCUUCUUUAAUAUAACCCUCCGUUAUUUGUGUAAUGCAUGCAACAUUAUCUUCAAAUAAUAUUGUCGGGUCACCUUUGAUAGAGGAGAGUCCACAUGAUUCCCAAAUAUGCUAGAUCAUAAAUCUUAGUCAUAUACAUUCAAGACUUGCUUCAUGAAUUGUCGGUAUUUUUGAAUGAUUUGAUGAUGUGACCAUCAUUAUUUGUUUGACAGAUCUCCAUGAAAUAGCGGUACUAUUGCAAUUAAACACAUACCUUAUUUGUGACCCACCUUUAUGUGGAUUUGAAAGAUAUCAUGCAUUUGCAUAUCCAAACAAUUGUUGUUUUGAUUCUCUUGAGUAAAAUAAACUCAUAUCAAUAGUUCCACAAAGAUAACGUAAUAUAUAUUUGAUACCAUUCCAAUGUCUUCGAGUUGGAGCGAAACUGUAUCUUGCUAAUAAAUUGAUAGAAAAAAACAAUGUCUGGAUGUGUACAAUUGACAAGAUAUAUAAGUACACCAAUAGCACUAAGAUAUGGAACUUCAAGACCAAAUAAUUCUUCAUAUUUUUUCGCAAUAACGAAAUUGGUCAUUUUUCACAUCAAGUGAUCAGAUAACCAUUGGAGAACUUAAAUAAUACACUUUAUCCGUAUAAAAAUGCUUCAACACUUUCUUAAUAUAUGUUGAUUGAUGUACUAAAACUUCAUUUGGAAAAUGUUUGAUAUGCAGAUCAAGACAAAAUUUUGUUUUUCCAAUAUCUUUCAUCUCAAAUUCCUUUUUCAAGUAAUUUGUUGUUCUUGUGAGCUCUUUAGGAGUUCCAACAAGAUUUAAGUCAUCAACAUACACUAUAAUAAUUGCAAUUCCGAUUUCUGAUUUUUUAAUGAAGAUGCAUGAGCAGGAUUAUUCACGUACCCUUUUUUUAGCAAGUAUUCACAAAGGCGAUUGUAUCGCAUGCGUCCAGAUUGCUUUAAUUCAUACAAAGAUUGUUGUAACUUGAUUGAGUACAUACUACGAGGCUUUGUACUAUUUGUUUCAGGUAAUUUAAAUCAUUCAAGGAUUUUCAUGUAUAUAUCAUUAUCCAUGAAUCCAUAUAAAUAUGUUGUAAUAACAUCCAUGAGAAGCAUAUCCAGUUCUUUUGAGACUGUCAAACUAAUUAAGAAAUGAAAUGUGAUUGCAUCCAUGACAGAAGAGUAUGUUUCCUUGUAGUCAAUACCAGGUCUCUGCGAGAAACCUUAUGCUACUAAUCGCUUUUUAUAUCUUAUGAUCUCAUUAUUCUCAUUGCGUUUUCGUACAAAUACCCAUUUGUACCCAACAAACUUUAUAUCUUCAAGUGUUUGGACUAUAGGUUCAAAAACUUCUCGUUCUGUUAAUGAGUUUAAUUUUGUCUGCAUAACUUCUUUCCAUUUUGGCUAAUCAUUUCUAUGUCGGCAUUCUUCCACAUUCCGUGGUUCAGGAUCAUCAUUUCUUAUGAUAUCAGAGGCCACUUGGAAAACAAAAAUAUUGUUAAUAACAAUAUUAUUUCGAUCCCAUUUUUAUUAUGUGUGUACAUAACUUACUGAUAUCUCACAAUUUUCAAGUACAUGUGCCUGUUCAGGGGUUUCCUGUUCAAUAUGUGCCUCUUCAGGGGCUUCUUGUUCAAUAUGUGCCUUUUUAGGAGCUUUAUGCAUUAUUUAUGUCUCUUAUAGGGCUAUAGAUUUAUCAAAUUUAAAUUGAUUAGUCAUUUUGAUGGUCUCUUCCAAAGUGCCAAGUUUUUAUUGUGUUCUCAUCUUCCAGGGAGUUACAUCCUUUGAGUCGACAGGUCUGCCACGCCUCAAGUGUAUCUUAGAUUCAUUUGUUAACUGUUCUAUAGGGACAUCAAUCCGUGCUGAAGUAUUUG
rnacentral:lncRNA from 1 species